rnacentral:pre_miRNA from 1 species
UGUUAAAAAUUUUAUCUAUUUCUAUGGUCAAAAAUUGAUGUAGUUGACGGAAUAACCAGACAUUUAUAUGUGGCGUGCCACAAGUUUUUAAUAGUAGAACUUGAUAAAAUUUUUAGCA